GGGCGCAAGCCUGAUGCAGCCAUGCCGCGUGUAUGAAGAAGGCCUUCGGGUUGUAAAGUACUUUCAGCAGUGAGGAAGGUGGGUAUGUUAAUAGCAUAUUCAUUUGACGUUAGCUGCAGAAGAAGCACCGGCUAACUCCGUGCCAGCAGCCGCGGUAAUACGGAGGGUGCGAGCGUUAAUCGGAAUUACUGGGCGUAAAGCGCAUGCAGGUGGUUUGUUAAGUCAGAUGUGAAAGCCCGGGGCUCAACCUCGGAAUUGCAUUUGAAACUGGCAAACUAGAGUACUGUAGAGGGGGUAGAAUUUCAGGUGUAGCGGUGAAAUGCGUAGAGAUCUGAAGGAAUACCGGUGGCGAAGGCGGCCCCCUGGACAGAUACUGACACUCAGAUGCGAAAGCGUGGGGAGCAAACAGGAUCAGAUACCCUGGUAG
rnacentral:rRNA from 1 species